rnacentral:lncRNA from 1 species
UACCCAGUCUGGCCUAGAUAGUGAGAAGAGAGUAAGGCAAAUUAAGUACUUCCCACAGAAUGUAUUUUUAAACAUCCCUUUAGUGCCCAUUGUGGAAUUAGCUAAGAGCAAUAGGUGUGCAUAUCAAUAUUAUAUGAAUUUACAUAACAAGUGGCUAUGAAUGUUUCCUAUGAUAUAGUGUCUUUGGAACUGGAUAUGUAAUUCAGUAUUAGAGUGGUUGUUUCAAAUGCUCAAGGGCCUGGCUUGGGUCCCCAGCACCAAAAAAAACAAAUAUGGAUUUUCAGUAGAAAAAUUUUGUGGUAUAUUUAACUUGUCAACAUAUGUGGAGAUGAUAUAUUCAGAACUAUUCAGAUGAAAAUAAGCGUGUUGGGGCAGGGAUUGUGACUAGUAGUCAGUCUAUAAUGAAUGCACACCAGGUGUUGAGAUACACACACAGUUAAUGAGUAUGUUUAGGCUUCAGUUUCCAUGGAGGAUUUAUUUCAGAUCCUCUUGGAUACCAAAACUCAUAGAUGCUCAAGUUCCCUAUAUAAAAUGUCUCAUUUGCAUAUCUUUAGAUUAUUUAUAAUAUGUAAUACAAUAUAAAUACUAUGUAGUUAGUUAUACUGUAUUGUUUAAGAGUAAUAAAAAGAAUGAAUACAUAUGCAUUUUUCUGCUUACUUUUUUGAAUAAUUUAUUUUAUGUUCAUUGGAGUUUUGCCUACAUGUAUGAAAGUGACAAAAGUCUCAGACAGGUCUGAGCUGCCAUGUGGGAGCUAGGAAUCGAACCCCACAUCCUCUGGAAGAACAGCCAGUGUUCUUAGCCGCUGAGCCAUCUCUCUAGGCCUCUACCAUUUUAAUGCUGCAUCCUCAGGUACAGAGGACCAUCAAUAGUUUCUGCCUUCAAUAAAAAGUUCAUCUAGCAAGGUCCUGUGAACAUAAAAGGAGGGGAGAGAAUCACAGCACUUAAUAGAAUAGAGCUAAAGAAGUACCACAAGUUUGAAGCUAUUCUGGACCACAUGGUGAGUUCUGGUUCAACUGGACUGCAUUACAAGACCCUUUCUUGAUAUCAAACAACACAGGUGUGUGGGAAUUCAGAAAAUUAGAUCACAUUUUGGAAAGUUAAAAGAGAAAGUUUUAUGAAAAAGGUGGCAUAUUGGUUUUCUUGGGCUUCAAUUACAGAGAAGCAAAUGCAGUGACCUAAAAUACCUAAAGUUUAUUCUCUUAUAGUUCUGGAGGCUGAAACCUAGGCUAGACUCUGAAUGCCAACAAGGCAUGGUUCCUCAGAGUUUGGUACAAUCCUGCCUUUUUACCUCAGCCUCAAAUGCCAGGAUUGGAGGCUUAUGCUACCCUUCCCACCUUACAUCAGUUUUUGGUGCUGUUUGUUCCCACCACAAUAUUCUAGUUUCUUCCUUUGUUGACAUGUGGAAGUAUCCCAGUGUCUCUAUGACCAAGUGUCCUUAAAAAGAUAAGAAUCAUUGGAUUAGAGCCUCCUCAUCCUAACUAGUUUUCUAUUUCAAAUUAAUCCCCUUUUUGAGAAUAAAGGCUUAAGUGGAUCUGAGGACACAAUUACUCUUUGUUUUGUUUUGUUUUGUUUUGUUUUUCCAGACAGGGUUUCUCUGUGUAGCUCUGCUGUCCUGGAACUCACUCUAUGGACCAGGAAGGGCUCAAACUCAGAGAUUCACCUAUUUCUGCCUCUGAGUGCUGGAACUAAAGGCAUGUACCACCACUGCCUUAAUAGGUAGCAUUUGAGAUGACACAGAGCUAUUAAAUUAAAAUUUUCUAAAUAAGCCAGCAAGAUAUCUUAGUAGGUAAAGGUGCUUGCUGCUUUCCACAAAUUUGUCUUCUGACCUCUACAUUGGCACCAUGGCAUAUAUGUCUCAUACACAUCACACGUACACCAAUCAAAAAAUUGACUAAAUAAAUGAAUGAGAGAGUAAGAUUGCAACAAAAGAAGAGAUGAAUCAAGGGAAUGCUGGAUUUAAAAAGUUGAAAGUUAUUUAGGCAAUGGAAUGGUGAGGUGUCUGUUUGCUGGUGUAUUGAGUUGUGGAGAUGAAGCCAGAGCAGUUUGUUGGUGGCAUGGGUUUCAGGUCUAGGACAUUUGCACAGUGGUGACUUUGGUGGCUGUACAGUGUUUGUGAGCAGGAUGCCACUGCAGAUUUUUUUGUUUGGUUUGUUUGGUUUGUUUGGUUUUUGUUUUUUUGAGAUGGGGUUUCUCUGUGUAGUCCUGGCUGUCUGAGAACUAGUUCUGUAGACCACACUGGCCUCAAACUGUUUUUAUUAUUUGGUAACAAAAUUGAUGCACUUUUAGUCAUGUCUGUGUAUCUCACUUUUAGUGGAUAUAAAAUAAUCCAUAUAUCAAUAUCUUGAUAUAUUUGAUGUUUAAGUGUUUUUUUCAGUUUGUUUUUAUUUCUGUUCUCAAUUGUAUUUUUGUAAUAUCUGUUUAUAUGCCCUUCCCAUUUUUCUGCUAGGUCAUAUUCCCUAAAGUGAGUUAAACUAAGUGAAUUAGGACUAAGGAUAUUACUUUUAGGCCACAUUGUCAUAUUAUUCCUUAGAAUGACUACCAGUUUCUAUUGCUACUAGCUACUAGUUAAUAUUGGAUUUUACAAUUUUGUUUUACUUGUAGCACAGUUGCAAUAUAUCACAGUUUAGCAGGGGACUGGCUGAUGCUUUAAAUACUUUGUCAUACAAAUUUUCAUACAUACAAAACCUAAAUAGUGCCUGCCAUCUCUGUUCAACAUGUUGCUAUAUUCCUUUUCUUUUAAUUUUAUUUUUUAUGUGCAUUGGGCAUUGGUGAAAGAGUCAGAUGCCCUGGCACUAUUGUUACAGACAGUUGUGAGCUGUCAUGUAGGUGAUGGGAAUUGAACUUGGGUCCUCUGGAAGAGCAGCCAGUGUUCUUAACCACUGAACCAUCUCUCUAGCUCGUUGCUAUAUUCUUCUUUUGGGGGGGGCUAUAUUCUUAAUGUGUUAAACCAUACAAAAAUAAAGACAUCUUGGGUGAGAGAGAUAGAUGGCUUAGCUGUUAAAGGCUAGGUUCACAACCAAAAAUAAAGACAUUUUGAUACCAUGCUGUAAAGUCUUCAGCAUGCAUCUCUUACAAAUACAGACAUCUUUUUUUUCCUCUUAAAUAAUUGUUCGGUUUUAAUUAGAGAAUUAGAUUAUUUUAAGAAUCAUUUUAGGCCUGGCAAGAUGGCUCAGCAGGGAAGGUGCUUGCCACCAAACCUAUGACCUGAGUUUGCACCCCAGCACCCACAUGGUGGAAGGAGAGAACCUACUCUCAAAAAUUACUUCAUUCACAAUAGCCACAAAUAAUAUAAAAUAUCUUGGGGUAUCUCUAACCAAAAAAGUGAAAGACCUGUAUGACUAUAAUUUCAAGUCUCUCAAGAAAGAAAUUGAAGAUCUCAGAAAAUGGAGAGAGCACCCAUGCUCAUGGAUUGGCAGAAUUAACAUAGUAAAAAUGGCCAUCCUACCAAAGGCAAUCUACAGAUUCAAUGCAAUCCCCAUCAAAAUCCCAACACAAUUCUUCAAAGACAUGGAAAGAGCGAUUCUCAUCUGGAAGGAUAAAACAUCCAGAAGAGCGAAAACAAUUCUUAACAAUAAAAGAACUUCUGGGGGAAUCACCAUCCCUGACCUCAAGCUAUACUACAGAGCAAUAGUGAUUAAAAACUGCAUGGUAUUGGUACAGAGAUGGACACGUCAGUCAAUGGAAUAGAAUUGAAGGCCCAGAAAUAAAACCACAUACUUACAGACAUUUGAUCUUUGACAAAGAAGCC